AGAGUUUGAUCCUGGCUCAGGACGAACGCUGGCGGCGUGCCUAACACAUGCAAGUCGUGCGAGGACGGCGCCUUCGGGUGUCGAGCCGAGCGGCGGACGGGUGAGUAACACGUGAGUAACCUGCCCCUGUGCGGGGGAUAACCCGGGGAAACUCGGGCUAAUACCGCAUGGUCCCUCUGGGCUCCGGUCUGGAGGGGGAAAGGCGGCCUCUUUACAAUGCUGCCGUGCAGGGAGGGGCUCGCGGCCUAUCAGCUAGUUGGUGAGGUGACGGCUCACCAAGGCGACGACGGGUAGGGGGUCUGAGAGGAUGGCCCCCCACAUUGGGACUGAGACACGGCCCAGACUCCUACGGGAGGCAGCAGUGGGGAAUUUUGCGCAAUGGCCGAGAGGCUGACGCAGCGACGCCGCGUGCGGGAGGAAGCCCUUCGGGGUGUAAACCGCUGUCAGGGGGGACGAACCCCCAGCAUGGGAAUACUGUGCUGGGCUGACGGUACCCCCAGAGGAAGCGCCGGCUAACUCCGUGCCAGCAGCCGCGGUAAGACGGAGGGCGCGAGCGUUGUUCGGAAUUACUGGGCGUAAAGCGCGCGCAGGCGGAUGUGGCAAGUCGGGAGUGAAAUCCCGGGGCUCAACCCCGUGGACUGCUCCCGAUACUGCUCGUCUAGGGACCGGUAGAGGCCGGUGGAAUUCCCGGUGUAGCGGUGGAAUGCGUAGAGAUCGGGAGGAACACCUGUGGCGAAGGCGGCCGGCUGGGCCGGAUCCGACGCUGAGGCGCGAAAGCGUGGGGGAGCAAACAGGAUUAGAUACCCUGGUAGUCCACGCCGUAAACGAUGGGUGCUAGGUGCCGGUGGGAGCGACCCCUUCGGUGCCGCAGCUAACGCAUUAAGCACCCCGCCUGGGGAGUACGGCCGCAAGGCUGAAACUCAAAGGAAUUGACGG
rnacentral:rRNA from 1 species